UACGUAGGGUGCAAGCGUUGUCCGGAAUUAUUGGGCGUAAAGAGCUCGUAGGCGGUUUGUCGCGUCUGCUGUGAAAACUCGGGGCUUAACUCCGGGCCUGCAGUGGGUACGGGCAGACUAGAGUGCGGUAGGGGAGACUGGAAUUCCUGGUGUAGCGGUGGAAUGCGCAGAUAUCAGGAGGAACACCAACGGCGAAGGCAGCUCGCUGGGACGGUACUGACGCUGAGGCGCGAAAGCGUGGGGAGCGAACAGG
rnacentral:rRNA from 1 species